rnacentral:rRNA from 1 species
UGGGGAAUUUUGGACAAUGGGCGAAAGCCUGAUCCAGCAAUGCCGCGUGUGUGAAGAAGGCCUUCGGGUUGUAAAGCACUUUUGUCCGGAAAGAAAUCCUUGGCUCUAAUACAGUCGGGGGAUGACGGUACCGGAAGAAUAAGCACCGGCUAACUACGUGCCAGCAGCCGCGGUAAUACGUAGGGUGCAAGCGUUAAUCGGAAUUACUGGGCGUAAAGCGUGCGCAGGCGGUUUGCUAAGACCGAUGUGAAAUCCCCGGGCUCAACCUGGGAACUGCAUGGUGACUGGCAGGCUAGAGUAUGGCAGAGGGGGGUAGAAUUCCACGUGUAGCAGUGAAAUGCGUAGAGAUGUGGAGGAAUACCGAUGGCGAAGGCAGCCCCCUGGGCCAAUACUGACGCUCAUGCACGAAAGCGUGGGGAGCAAACAGGAUUAGAUACCCUGGUAGUCCACGCCCUAAAACGAUGUCAACUAGUUGUUGGGGAUUCAUUUUCCUAGUAACGUAGCUAACGCGUGAAGUUGACCGCC